rnacentral:tRNA from 3 species
AGAAAUAUGUCUGAUUAAAGAGUUACUUUGAUAGAGUAAAACAAAGAGGUUUAAACCCUCUUAUUUCUA